AAGACUAUAGACCUGCGGAGUACCUGCGGAAGGAUCAUUAUCAAUUUACAGCGGACUUCGGUCCUGUCUGCACCCUUGUCUUUUGCGUACUAUAUGUUUCCUCGGUGGGCUUGCCUGCCGAUAGGACACUUAUAAACUCUUUUGUAAUUGCAAUCAGCGUCAGAAAACUAUAAUAGUUACAACUUUCAGCAACGGAUCUCU
rnacentral:misc_RNA from 1 species